UCGGCCGGUUACGAGUGUUUUCCAGAAGAUGGCAGGAAGGGUGCUUCCUCUUCUUCUCGUUCGGUGCAACACGUGAUACUCGAGGAAUCCUCGUUCAACCCCCCUCGAUUUUGCAUCAAAGUCCUGCUUGGCACAGCGCAGUGGAGUUUGGAAAAUUAACUUUAAUCGUGCAACGAUCAUCGACGUUCCACCGAAACAAAUUCCCUUCGAGGCAAGUAACGUUCCCUUUUCGAUUUAUUCGUUUUCGACGCUGUACAAGUUAUAAUUAUUCGAGUCCAAACUCGAAUAUCCUCUCUAUUUCAUUCCCUUGAUCAAAGAAUCCAUCGACAGUCGGAGAAUAUUCGAAAUACGUUCGCUCGUCUCGGCAGUCGCGUCGCAAUUACGAGACGGUUAACCUGUGAAAUGUAAACAUAGCGUAGCGCGGCUCGUGUUUAUUUACAAAACUCGAACGAGCAUAUCUCUCCACACCGUUUCUCUCUCCGCCUCUCCAAUGUUUGUGUUAUUGGCGGAUAGAAUCUGGCCGCGUUCACGAUGUUAUCUCGCGAUUAUCCCAGAGCCGUAAGGUGGCACGGAGGCUUGCGGUGGCAGGUAUCGCGACCGUGCAUUCCAUCGUGUUCCGUGACACGGUGACGUCACUUCCUGCGGGAAGCGUGACACGUGGUAUCCACCGACGUAGGUGGGCACCGUCAGAAGCACGGUCGACCCGCGUCACCUGGUUCACAGGUGCAACGGUGCUCGAGGAGGAGGCGGAAUGCCGAUCUAAGAUAAACUUCGCUUCUAAUCGGACGUAUUGCCUAUUUGCACUCGGCUCGUGCCGCCGUUUUCUGAAUCGGAAAGAGGGGAGGGCGUGAUCGAUUCAGAUACGAGUGGACGAGAAUAUCGCCGUCGAGAACAUGGGGAAUUCGUUUUAUCGUUUGUGACGAAGAGGAAGAAGAGGAGGAGGAGGAGGAGGAGGAGGAGGGAAAAAUCAUUACGGUAAAUUUAAUCAGUUAGGUUUCGAGUAAAGGACCGGGAGGAUAAUUCAAAUAUCGAGAUGAAGUACCUUUUAAAAGAAAAUUUCCAUUUGUUCGUAAUUAUAAAAUUAUAAAAUUCUCCGUUUGGUGUCAAUGAUCACUUCAAAAGGAUAAAGUUUCCAAUAAUCGAAACGGGGAACGAGUUGGCAUAAGCAUAAAACACUAAAGUUGUUGUGCGUAUGCUUGGUAAUUAUUCAUUACGUUUAUGUACCAUGUUAUUCAAUAAGCCAGACCCUGUAAUUUACUUACGAUUGAGCAUUUCACGCUUCGCAAUGGCUUACUCAAUUACUUGCCACGCGGAUGCUCGAGCGCGUAUGCCCGCCAUUAACCGCGGAACGUGCUCUUGCAUGCAUACUAUGCCGUUUCGUUUGCUUGAUGCCCGAUCGUAUCGUGAAACACGCACCGAUCUUACCUCUCUGUACAACGAUUUCGUUUUUUCGAUUUUCUUUCCUUCCUUUUUUUUCCCCACCAAAAAACUCGGCCCCGAUCGAUUCAAUUCGCCCGGCCGAAAAAAUGACACGAUUUCUUUACACGAUUGCCACGUACGACGAAGCGAAAAAUUCGAUAUUCGAUAUUAUAUCUUCGUUUUGUAAUUGUAGAAAUAAAUAUUCUGUUAUCUGUACAACACUUGAAUUAAUACGAGUGAGAAAAAGAAUCCGUGAUCCAAGUAUUGAUCCAAGUAUUUCGGAGAAGAAACCGAUAAUUUAGAUAACAAAAACUGGAGGAGGAAAUGCGUUGAUAACCGUUCUCGAAAUUGUUGGAAGAGGAAAGGGAGGCUGUUGUCGAAAUGUUUCCAACGUCAUCGAAACAACAAUCGGCCUAUCUAAUAAAUUGACCCCGCCUUUUAUCUUUUUAUCUGCUCGAAAGAGGAGUGGAACGAGGAGGGAAAGGAAAAGAUACAAUGGAAAGAGAUGAAAAGCGGACUGGUUGAAUUAUUUUUUCGCGGGAACACGCCCUCGUUCCUUAUUUAAACGGGGAAAAAAGGGGAAAGAUCGCGCAACGCUGGUUCGAUUAUUAGUCCCCAAGGCAAGUCCUCUGGCAUUCCUGACAACACCACCUGCUUAUGAUCCGGAUUGCACGGCUUUGACGGUCGGGGUAUCUGGCACAGCUCGCGGUUCUGGCAUAGCUCUCCCACAUUAGUGCCAACCAGUGCACCACGAUCGACUUGCCUUUCGCAAUUUUCCCUGUUGCAACAAACGGUGACGAUCGUUUGCAUUUCGUUUACAUAUGGAUGGAUGGCCAUCUACAUAUUUCUGUUUCAACGUGGAUAGAAUUAUUUCGGGGAUCGUGGUGCAAUAACGCUUCUAUAAAAAUGUUGAAACAUUUGCGACGAGUAUCUUUGAAGUGACAGAUCGUCUUUCAAAUUCGAAGAAUUUCUUUUUCAAUCAGCGAUAAUAAAGUCUAAAGCAUAGGGGUUAUUUUUCGAAUUGACGUUGGAGCGAGGAGGAUGAAGAGAGAAUGGAACAAACGAUCCUGGUCAUUAGGCCAGGAUUUCAGUUUCGAUUUGUCUUGCCGUCUAACGAGGAUGAUUUAACGCUCGGCGUGAAGCGCGCGCGAUUGUUCGAAGGCGUAACUUUCUCCCGUUUCGCAACACGAUCGCCGUUUGCAUUCCGUAUGUACAUUAAGAGCUUACGUUCGUUUGUCCUCCGCAAUUGCCUCCGAUGAGCAACUGGAAUACGUAACGAGAAAAUUGGAAAACAUGCAUAAUUCAGGGGAACGAUGUUUAUUCAUAUUUUUCACGCAUGAAAUCUCCAUAAAAUUAUAAAACGUAACCUAUGUAUAUUCUAACGUUAGCCAAUUUUCUGUACAAUGCGUAACCCUUUCUCGCGAAACAAAAAAAAAGAAUCAAAAAAUUUCGAGCGAAACCAAGCCACGAUGCAAUAAAAGAAUUAAGAGAAGAAUUCGUAGCAAAGACUUGCUGCUUAAAAUUGAAAUAAAGAUCAUCGUUUUCGUGUGUUACAUUAUCGUAUUACAAAUACGAUAUCUUUUCGAGUCGAAACGACGUAGCGCGUGGAGAAACGCGUAAUUUCUAACGUUUAAUUCGUAUAUUUCCAGAUUUACCAUGGCGUAAAAAUCGAAGGAAGCGAGGCUCGUUACGUAUUCGCCGUUGGGCAAUUGCGCAUCGCGUGUAACUCGGUUAGUUUCCCGGGCCAAUUCACCCUUUGCAACGUCACGUUGAGGAAAAGGCCGAAAAAGUCGGGAAUCGAUAGGAUAGCAGCGAGGGAACGGGCAAAAAGUAUCGGGUCUAAUCUGCCGCGGUUAUUUCUGCAACACCCCGUGUACACAGAGUGUCUCACGCACCGAGAGCGCGUGCUUACGCGGUAUAAUGCCUGGACGGGUGGCCGGCCGCGGCCAUUUACGGCGAUUUUAACCAUUAUAUUACGAUGCCGGUAGCAUAAUGAAGGUGAGUUUUUCUCGUCGCUAGCCUAGUCGAGAGAGCUCCUCACGGCCCCGUUGUCCCCGGUGGCGCAUACGCAGUUCCAAUUCUCACGGUGUCCCUUAUGGAACUCGCUCACUCCCACCACCAUCGUCUCUCUCUCUCUCUUUUUUCUUUCGCCUUUUUCUUUCACGGAGAAAAAAAUAAGAAAAGGUUAGAUAAUUAUAUUCGUUCGAAGCGGCUCCACGAAGAGACGAAUCAGUCUUGUCUUUUUUUAAAUUUCUCCCGAUAAUUUCAGAGUGAGGUUCUAGAGAGAUUUCGUUCAUUCACGUAGUCGGUCUCUUUCCCCUUGGCAUUCUUAUCCUUAUUAUUCCACGGGACAUCUCCGGCUGGUGAAAUCCGGAACGUGUAUAUAUAUAUAUAUAGGUGAAAGGGGGGACAUUACAUUCUUUGUACUUAGUUGGCCGCCCCUCCUCCCCCGCGGUGCACGUCCACCCCCUCCAGCUUCCCGGUAGCCCGCAGCCAGCCAACCCUAUUCUCGCGUUGAGUGAAAAGUUUUACUCGGGAUAUUACGCCUCAUCCUCCCGUUACCGUCCCGAGGAUUCCACUCUCCCUCUCCUCGUCCUCCAACUACCCCGUCCACCGCCUCACUGUUUCUCGUUAUACUCUCACUUCGUCUCGUUCCUUCCUUAUCUUCGUUCCUCUGGAUAUAUAUAUAUACGUAUUCGUCUCACCCCCUCUCGAGUAACGCGUUUCUCGCCCCGUUUUCGGGGGGAGGGCGGUGAACAUAAUAUCAUUACUAUUUCGAACUCCCGUUCUUAUGAGUUCGUGUAGGGGGACGUAAUGCACCUACAGUCCAGUUUGUUUGACGUUCUUCGUUUUCCUUUAAGGAGGAGGAGGAGGAGGAGAGAGGGAGAGAAAGGGGGAGAGAGAGAGUUCUCGUGGGAGGACGAAGAUUUUUUCCUUUUUCUCCUUUUUUUUUUUUUUUUUGCGGUAGAGCGGUUUCACUCUCGUUGUCAUUCUCACCAAUAUAGUAAUAGUGAAAUUGCGUGAGAUUGGUUGAUAAUUCUAGCCGUGUAUAUGGUACAUUAGCUGACGAUCGGCUAGCACUCAAGGUUAUUUGCAAACUAUGCAAGUCGUGGUAUUGGAGAUUAUUUCAAGGUUACUUAAAGGUCAUAAAAGAUGAUUGAAAAUUAUAUUUCAUUGUUGUUUGAGAUUAUUUAAAGGUGACGGUAGUGUCAUCGAGUUAAUUGAAGGUCAAGGGGAAUAUUAUCGAGGUUGUUUUAUAAUCAUUAAAAAUUAAGGAAAGGCCGAUUAUCAAUGCAUAAUUUUAUUCCGAAAAUUAGAAGAAAAAUAUCCCCGAUUCGAAUUAUCUUUAAUCGUCUUCCCCUCUGCCAAAAAAUUAAAACAGCUCGGCUCGAUUUUAAUUUAAUUUUAUCGAUUGUCCCUCUCUCCUUCUUUUUUUCUAUUCGAACAAGGAAUAACAAGUUUGUAUCGAGUUAUAUAUCGCACGUCCGCCAUUUCUCCCCCCGUCUCGAGCAAGAAUGUAAAAAGAUCCACCCUUGAGGAUCGGUUGGAAGAGGAGCGGAUAGGCUGGCCGGAGGGUUGAAACGCGUGUCCUGGUGGUGGGGAGGCUUGUUCGAGGAGAGGAGAGGAUCUGCAUACGCGCGUGUAAAUCACGUUCGCGGGAAGGAGAGGAGAGGGAGAGAGAGAGAGAGAGCAAGGGAGGGCGGAAGGGAGAGAAGGUCGGAGAGAGAAUCGUCGCGUUACUAUCGACCAAUCGUUGGCAGACCUGCGUACAUCAGCGUGCCGCCUAUAGGCCACCCCCUAACCUGCCAGCCACCCCCGGCCAUAUUGUAAAAUAUGGAUCGCGGAGGUGUACAACUCCCCACCUAGCCAGUGGGACACCCCUUCCCUUCCACCACCCCGCGACGUCAUUUUCCACGUUGCUUCGAAUAAGAAGUACCGUUCCUUCCUCUUACGUUCCAUUAUGAACGAUUUUCUUUUUUUUUUGGAGGAGGAGGAGGAGGAGGAGAAGUUUUAUUUGCUUAGGACAGGGGUUAGAUAGAAGCGUUUUCUCUGAAAUAUCAUCGAGGAAAAAUGUUAAAAUGUUCGUAUCAACAAUUCGUUUCGAAUUGUUCGAAAAGGAGGGCGCGAGAAUGUAUGGAAAGGGUAUGUCCUUUCUUUUUCCUUUCCUCCUCUUCCUUUUUAUCAAACGAAAUGGCGUAUUAAUCCUGGUUAUUUAGAUAAUUGUACGACGGGGAGGAAUAAUCUAAUAAUAUAUAAGAAGAUAUAAGAAGAAAGGAAUUUACAUAACAAAAUUGUUUAAAACUAAUACACUAGAAAUUUUAUGUUGUGUAUUCAUAUUUCAUAUUAUAACACGGAUAUUAUUUUUGUUUCGUUAAAACCUCCAUAUAAGUUUUAUGAAGUCGUAAAAUGUUUUGUGAUUCUAGAAGAAAGGAAAUACUUUAUGGAUUGUGAGUAAUUAUAGGUAUCAUUUCUGAAUUCUGUUAGGCCUGUGUAUCUGAUAGUGUUCUCUACUAUUAAUUCAAAUUUCGCGAUCAUAUCUUGUGCUUGUGCUUCGUUGUGCGGCAGCAGUUUUAUUGGAUAUUCAUUCUUUGCAUUUCAUUCUCGACACGAGUGAAACAGGAUGUCUAUAAAUUUUUUGAAAGAGCAAUGAAUUAACGUCAAAUUAAAUCCAAAUCUAAUCGUGAAAAUUGCGCUUCGUAUUAAAAAAAAAAAUAUAUAUAUAUAAUGAUAAUUUCUUUUUUAUGCAAAUUACUCUAGAAUCAUUAAAAAAAAAAUCAUCCGUAAUUCAAAAUCUUGGGAUCGUCAAGACGAAUGAAUAUAAGAAACAUUGAAUAUCGAAGGGAGCAUCCCUCGCCAUCAGAUUCUCGGUAAAACGAUCCACCUCUAAUCGCGUCGCUCUUUACGACACCCCCUGAGAGGGGAGAAGGGGGAGGCAUCGUGGUCGCUAAUAGCGGUGGAGGAAUUCGAGGCCACUUCCGCGUUUCGUAGGAUAAAGGAAAAGUUACUGAACCGUGCGCACGGAGGGCAACUCGACCAUGCGAAGUUAUGUUUCAGACGCGGCACCGUAAAACAGAUAUCGCGACAUUAAUGACUCGAGAAGUGGAUUUUGCCCAUUUUUCAUCGUCCUCGUUCCCGCGACGAGCCGUAAUUUGUCCAAAAAGAAAAUAGAGAUCGUCCCCUCUUUUCGUGGGAUCCAUCCUCCCUCUCCUUCUCUCUCGAAAUUCGGGCCAUUUCCUUUGAAACCCUUUCGAAACGCAAUUUUACAUCCUGGGAAGGAAAAACUCUUAAUUCCUUCCGCUUCGAGAGACACGAUCGAUCAAAGUCUGGAAGGAAAUUCACGCAUAAUUAAGGAUAUUAAAAGUAUCCAUCCCACGUAUUAUUUUCAUCCUUCUCGAAAACUUUCCCGACGAACAUUGUCAACGACUCGUUAAACGCGAGAGAAAGAGAGGAAAACAAAAACAAAAAAGGAAAACAGAGGAAGCGUAUGUGUGUGCGUGAGAGAGAAACAGAGAGAGAGAGAGAGAAGGAAGGAAUCGACGGUAUUUUUCUCGCCUCGCAAAAUUUACGACGGCUGGCGUCGCUCCAGACUCGUAAUUCCGCCUUUGAAAUAAACAUCCGGAUGAGAUAUCGCGAUCUUAUCGGAUCGAAGGAGCUAUCGGGGCUGACAUCGCCUCCGUAACGUUAUAAAGUUAUCGCGGUUGGUUUUAUGCAUGGGAAACAAAGUUUUGCUCGCCGUAUAAUUCCUACUACGACGACACACAAUGGGCGAAUUACAUCGUACCGUAAUUCGUUGCAUAAUUCUCGGUUUAACGCUUUAGCAAAUUCUCUCAUCAAUUAGUGGCGAAUUUAUAAUGCACGCGCAUUACACGCUUCCUUCCUCAUCGCGACCUCCCUCCCCUCCUUCCGUCUGGAUGAGCCUUCACAAUUUCCCUCCCCUGAUUUCGCGGUGCAUCGCACGAAUCGUUUCCCUCUUGUAAUUCUUUCUUCCUUUCUCUCCCUCUUUUUUACAUAAUUGUACGCAGAAUGCGCGAAUAACAGAAGAUCGAACGCCCAAAGACGCGAAUUCGGUAUCGAGAAGAAUUCGAGAACCGGAAGGAUUUGGCGGGCGGUGAGAAAGAAACGGGUCGGCCAUUUCGAUUUGAUCGGCGACCGAUUACCGCUCGCCACCGCAUAAAACGCACGGGAGAGAUGCACGUGCUGCGAAUUACGCAGAUGCACCGGGCAGGUCACUUAGCCGGGGGGCCCCGAUGCAUACGAGCGCCGAUCAUCUUGCACGUAGGCUCACGCACGCCCGCGCUCCUUUCCACGACGACAAUUUUCACGUUUGCACGCGGCGCACGUGCGCAUUUAUUCCUCGCCCAUUUAUCCUUCCUACCUCGAAUUUCGAUCCGCAACAACCUGUUCGUUUCCGUAUUCUAUAUUCCUCUUCUUCGUCCUCGUCGUUCGACCUCAGGCGAAUAAUGGAAAACGAAUUUUUCUAUCAACUCUAAUCUGUUUGGAAAAGUAUUGCUCUUCUUCUUCUUUUGAUCGAAAAAAAUAUUAAUCGAAAAUUUCUUCUCUCGAUAUUCAAAAUCCGAAUGGAAAGAGUUGAAAGGUGAACAGAAUCACGAUAAUGAUGACUUCGAGCUGCGAUAUAAUUCUUGCACGCGACGUCUUUUGAUCCUCGCCGUCCCUUCCUCGAAUACAAACUCUUCGACAAAUCCAGAGAUUCGCAUUCUCGCGAUACGAAUCGGCAAUGAUACUUUCUAACGCGACGCGGAUGAUUUAAGGAUGAUUCGAAGAGAGACAAGAAAACCGGAUUUCAUUCGUAAACAGCAAGUAAACGGAAUACUUUUAAAACCGAGACGAAUCUUAGGAGAUAAUGAUGCGCCGCUUAUUACUUACUCACUCACAUUCAAAAGAGAUUUCCUUGGAUUCGCGACAAAUGUUUGCAAGAAAUUUCUCGCGAAGAAGUGGAUAUCGGCGAAAGUGUGUACUGUUGCUUAUUGCGAAUCGUUAUAUAAUCGCUGGCCGAGAAAAAGAGGAAUUAAUUUGCAGAAAUGGAAGGAAAAUAGAUUUUUGGAACAGAUAAACGGAGAUUUUUAUGAAUAACGAUUAGAUAAAUAAUGAUUCGAAAGAGAUAAGGAAUUGAUAGAAUUUUUAUUUCUUCCAUAUCUAUUGAGAUUUUCCAAAUGAACCGUUUUUCUCCCUCUUUCUUCCUUUCUUUACAGUUUCUCUCGAAUAUACCUAUAAAUAUUUCGAUAUUGCAAAAUAAUCUAUCUCCAAAUUCGUUUUUUUCAUCUAUCUUCGAAUCACUCUCGAUUCCUGUUAAUUAGAGGCCUGUUCGCGAGACAGAAAUUCCUGUCUCGACAAAAUGAGACAAGCGUUCAACACUUAACACCUAACACAACCGCAUAAUCUAACAAAUCGCGAACGAAUCGUUCAGAAGUGGUUCGUUCGUUGCAACGAGGACUCUCGCUUUCGCCUCUCGAUUAAUCCAAUCACGGAUCUCUUAAAAACCCGUACCAACGACAAAACGUAGUUUUAUCUCGAGCAACAGCGGUAUAGUACACCGUGUGUUUUAUAGUCGAGGGCCAAGUCUCGCCAAGUUCUCCCCGGUUUAAACAAUUAGACAGCCGGUGAAGUAACGAGAUAAAUCUCGAUUUUCAGAGGCUAAGUGACAGCGAUGACCAUUAAUCUGCUCGAUCGCCGGAAUCGCGACACCGAUCUCGCCGCUCUAACGAGCAGGCAUAACGCCAACCUCCCUUCCUCUCUCCACCUUCUCUCUCCUUUGUUCCUAUAUCUAUCGAAAUUUUUGGCAUUUCGCUCGUCAUUUUGUCCCGAAUCGUGGAAUCUGGGCGGCAAGAUUUUAAUAUCGAUAAAUUUCCGAUUUUUAUAUCCUAUGAAAAAAGUGGUUGGAAUCUGAUCUUGAUCAAACGUAGGAUAUAUUCAUUGACGAUCAAUGAUGAUUUGUCGUUGUGACACGUUUUCGAAAAAACCGAGACCGAUACCGGUCAGCGUGGAUCGUUGUUGAGGGAGGGGUUGAAAAUAAAAAGGCUGGAGGGUGGCUGAUAUCUGCGAGACUGGCCCGUAGUCGGUAUAACUCCGAUAACGGCCACCAUAAACCCUCGGUCUUUCACUCGUAGAAGUACGCCAGUAUUCUUUGCUCUGCCCAUUUUCAUCCUUCGUAUACGAGAAUUCUUCCGCGUUGACAGGGUUUACUUAUAAAUAUAUAUUAUACAUUAGCAUCUUCCUUAUUAAAAUUUUGCGAUUCUCCAUUUUUGGACAGUUAUUUUUCUUACUUGACUUCAAGGAUUGAAUUACAAUUACUUAGAAAGAUACUUAGAAGUUUUCGAUGAAAGAUCAAUUAAGAGAUCCGAAUAAAUACGAUUCGUAGAAAGGAAUCGAAGAUUGAAAAACGUCGAAUUUUAACGUCUGUUUUUUGCGACAAGUUCACGAUUUUUCACGAUCCCCUUUCUUUCUUCCUUUUUUCCAUUCGAAGCUGCACCCUCCCCUCUUGGCUCGACCGCAUCCGUUUAUUACGGAUCCCUGUGAGCCGGGUUAAUAAUGGAUUUUCAACCAGUCCUUACCUUUACGAGAAUCCACGUCACGUGAUCGCGAGAUGCCUUAUAGCUGCUGUAUACAUACAUGCGGGAUAAGGGGUGGCAGCGAGCGGAGGAUCGAUUCGGAAUUAUUAUGCCGCUUUUUGCCAUUAGUUUCCCUAAACGCGAGUCAGGAGGCGAGGAGGGUGGAGAUUUACGUCGGGUGGAGAUGUCGCGCGCCGAUCAUGCGCAAACCACUUUGUGUGCUAAUGAAAAACCGACCGAUCCGGUGGAAAACUCCGGCGGAAUCGUGGGACGACGGAUCGAUAUUCGAUUAUUAAUUUCUUGGAGCGAGCGAUUUUCCAAGUGGAAGCGUAAUCUUUGCUGAUGAUAAAAAAAUUGUCGACAAAGAAUUUAACAUUGAUAUACGAAGAUAAGGAUCGUUCGAAACGGGGAAUGAUGUCACAGUUUUAUUAUUUAUCUAAUAUUCUUAAUAAUUUUAUUCAGAGAUUCGUGUUAUCGUGUUAACGAUAUUAUAAUCUUUUAAAGCGAUUUUGUAUAUGCUUAGAUAUCGAAUUACACGAAAACCGUAUUAAACAUAGAAUUAUGAUUGAAGAAUAAUUUUAAUAUUCCUAUUUCGAUCCUGAUCCCAAAUCAAUAUAAUUUCGAGAUACUUUGAGACAACGUUGAAUUUGAAUUUUUAUUAUUCGAAUUUCGCGCGAAAGAGUACGGAGGAGGAGGGAUUCUUCUCGAAUUCUUGGAAAGAAGUUGCUCGGCAUAAAGUGCACGGAAGGAUAAACGAUGCCACGCCAUUCGAGUGCAUGUCUCAAGAUCUUUGUACCAAGGCAUCCACGGAUGGGCGGAGCACGUAGCAAGGACUUUGCAUACUCGAUGAGCACUCGAGGUGGAGGCGGUGAUGCUGUUUGCAUACGGUCACGGUGGUGCAGCCUCUCCAUUGGUCCAGAAACAUCUCGCUGCAUCUCCCUACCUCGCACUCUUUCGCUCCCACUACCUCUCCUCCCCAUUUGAUGCAUCUCGUCGUCUUAGUCCACCGCACUCGCGACUCGUCGUCCGGCUAGCAAAGGGUUUAACCUACUUUCGGACCUGUUUCAAUUCAUUGCCGUUUCGUUCUUCGUAUUAUUAAUAUCUGUCCUUAGAUCACGCUCGCCUUGUGCUUGUUUCAUCCAAUUUCUCGUUCGAUACCACAACAUUUUCGAAUGAUUAGAUUUUAUAGAACUUGUACAACUUAUAUAUCAAUGAUCCAUCCAUUUUCUUUUUUGUCCUCCUUUUUACGAAAAAAUAAAUUAGACUUUGGAUGUUUACAAUGUACGAUAACAUUUGUGUCUCUUUAUCAAUAAAUACACAUAUUGAAAAGUAAAAGAGAAAUUAUAAUCCUUUCUAAAGGAUAAAUUUUCUCUACAGGAAAUGUGAAAAAAAUGAAAUUUUGGAAUCCUUUAUCUUACAUACCCCUUUGAAAAUUAAACGUUUAUCUUCAAUUUAUGCUAUCGUAAUUAUGGAAAUAACGAAAAGGGGAGGGAUAUUUUUUUCUAAGGAUAUCCAUAGAGAGUAGUAUCGAUCUUUGCUCGCGAUCGGUUCGAGGCCAUCGCGGGUUCGAUAACAUGUCAUCGAAACGAGGCGAGCGUGGAGAAGGUGGGAGAUAAAUACGAAAUCGAUGAUAAACUGGCCGGUCUGUAGGCGGGCUCGAGGUAGGGAUAGAACGACACCUCCUUAGAGUCGGAAUAGCCCCGUCGUAUAUACACCCGGCCUAUCGUAGCUCGUACGGGUUCUCAAGCUACUUUUUGCUUCCCACGGUUCUGGUCCUCCGGCUCCGCUCGCAGCCUCUGCGAUUCCAGCAUUCCGCCGCGCGAAUCGCCACGCGUUUUCCGCACAAUCUUCCUCGAGAUACGUAGACGGGCACGGAUUCCACGGCACCGCUGUGCGAUCGCAAUUACAAUUUUGCAUGAGGCAAUCGAUUUUUCCCCGACCGAGAUUUGAAAGUUAAUACCCGCUUUUUACCGAGCGUUUUCAACGUUUCGUUGUUCAACGUUCUUACGUCGUGAUGCAUUGAUAUUUUACGUUCUUCCACGUGCCCAUUACUCUUCUGAAACGGGAUUUGAAAGUUGAUCGAAACCUUUUCUUUUUUUACCCGAUUCUUCGUGGAUUGUGAUACACGUGGUUUUAUUUUAUUGUUACGCCGCGUCUCGAAUGGGAAUAAUUAUUUUUAAAAUAAGAUCCGAAAGUUAAUUUAGUUGUUUUUUUUUAUGUAUGUCUCAAUUCGCAAUUCUUUAUAUUGUAUAAAUAUUUCAUUUCAGUUUUUUUUUCUUUUUUGAUCCUUUUUUUAUCAUCAUUUUUUUAUAUUAUCACGUAUAUUUUAUCGUUAGAAUAUAUAUACGAUAUAAGUCGAAUUAUUGUAAUAUUGUUGCGAGUUUGAAACGUUAUACGUAAUAAAUGUAGAGGAGACAAGAAACGACAACACGAUUCGUCAUUGAUAUCGUAACAUAAUACAAAUUUAACGGAGUCGUGUAUCGAACGUGGAAUAGAACGCACGUGUUUCGCUCUUCGCUCCUCUCGACGACGCCAGAGGGGGAGGAGAAAAGAAGCGCACCAAGUAGUUGUUCCCAAGUACACGUCGCGGACAGUAUUCCGAGAUGUAUUAAGGACCAGGAGAACCGCUUCCUGUAGUUUGUCAUUCGCUCCUGGAAUCUAUCGCUUUCUCUCGGCGCCCCACAGCGCGAAACGAAACAGCGAAAAUAUACCUCGAGCUGCCACGUAUCGUCGGCGUGUACGUUACUCGUACCGCGUCCAAGGUGAGGCGAUUCUUUCCACCAAACGGAGCCCAGAGGGUCUCUAAAUGAUAGUAGAUUCGAGGAGAGGACACGUUCAUCGAUUCGUGGAUAUAAGAAUAAAAGAAUACGAUAUCUCGGAUAUAUUUUUUCGAUAUCAAAAACGCGAAGAUCUUUCGAUAAAUAAAAUAUUUGAUACAUUUAUCGAUUAAGGAAAAU